CUCAUAUUGUCUGAAAGGUCCUGCUCGGAGAGCACCCACGUCCCACCUCCCGACAGAUCGCCCGCAUCAAAAAAAACACGGGGGACGGGAUGGGCCCCCCUGCGACCAGAACCCUCAUGCUGAAACGUCACAAGGACCCCAUUUUCCGUCUGCAAAUCCCCACCAACCCAGCUCACCCUAGGAACAACACGCAUCCCAGAGAGUGUCCUGACAGCAGAACAACGUGGAGCAUACCCGGGGAGCCCUUUCCCCGACACUGCUAUUCAUAACAUACGAUGCCCUGACACACUCCUC